CGAACGCUGGCGGCGCGUUUUAAGCAUGCAAGUCGAACGGUAUACAGUGCUUGCACUGUAGAGAGUGGCGAACGGGUGAGUAACACGUAGGUAAUCUGCCUCUGGGAGGGGGAUAGUUUAUGGAAACAUAGAGUAAAACCCCAUAAGGUUCAAUCAUGAAAGUGGUUGAAUGAAAAGCGCAAUUGUGCUGCCUGGAGAUGAGCCUGCGGUCCAUUAGUUAGUUGGUGGGGUAAAGGCCUACCAAGGCGACGAUGGAUAGCCGGCCUGAGAGGGUGAACGGCCACACUGGGACUGAGACACGGCCCAGACUCCUACGGGAGGCAGCAGCUAAGAAUCUUCCGCAAUGGGCGCAAGCCUGACGGAGCGACGCCGCGUGAACGAUGAAGGCCGAAAGGUUGUAAAGUUCUUUUCUCAGGGAAGAAUAAUGUAAGUAUUGGACUGAUUUACAGAUGACAUUAACUGAGGAAUAAGCCCCGGCCAAUUAC
rnacentral:rRNA from 1 species